AAUUAUGUGAGCAGAGAUGGAAUUUCCAUGGAAGCACCUAGCUGUGUGAGCAAAGCGGAAGUGCCUACAUGUCAGGAUGCUAUUAGAUUGAAGGAUGACCGAGUGACCUCUAAAGAUGAUAAUUGUUGUUUGACAGCAAGAAGAGACGAGGCUGACCAAGUGACGUCUAAAGAUGAUAAUUGUUGUUUGACAGCAAGAAGAGACAAGGCUGACGAGUCUGAAUAUGGAAGUUCUAAUAUUGUUUAUAGCCAAGUUUUAAUAGUUAGAGAUGUAAAUAUAACUUCCAAAAAUAGCUUUAAAGAAGACAACGG
rnacentral:lncRNA from 1 species